rnacentral:rRNA from 1 species
GACGAACGCUGGCGGCGUGCUUAACACAUGCAAGUCGAACGGAAAGGCCCUGCUUUUGUGGGGUGCUCGAGUGGCGAACGGGUGAGUAACACGUGAGUAACCUGCCCUUGACUUUGGGAUAACUUCAGGAAACUGGGGCUAAUACCGGAUAGGAGCUCCUGCUGCAUGGUGGGGGUUGGAAAGUUUCGGCGGUUGGGGAUGGACUCGCGGCUUAUCAGCUUGUUGGUGGGGUAGUGGCUUACAAAGGCUUUGUCGGGUAGCCGGCCUGAGAGGGUGACCGGCCACAUUGGGACUGAGAUACGGCCCAGACUCCUACGGGAGGCAGCAGUGGGGAAUAUUGCACAAUGGGCGGAAGCCUGAUGCAGCAACGCCGCGUGCGGGAUGACGGCCUUCGGGUUGUAAACCGCUUUCGCCUGUGACGAAGCGUGAGUGACGGUAAUGGGUAAAGAAGCACCGGCUAACUACGUG